UACGUAGGGGGCAAGCGUUGUCCGGAUUUAUUGGGCGUAAAGAGCGUGUAGGCGGCCUGGAAGGUCAGCUGUGAAAACUCGAGGCUCAACCUCGAGACGUCGGUUGAAACCACCUGGCUAGAGUCCGGAAGAGGAGAGUGGAAUUCCCGGUGUAGCGGUGAAAUGCGCAGAUAUCGGGAAGAACACCCGUGGCGAAGGCGGCUCUCUGGGACGGUACUGACGCUGAGACGCGAAAGCGUGGGGGAGCGAACAGG
rnacentral:rRNA from 1 species